AGCAGUGACAUAAUUGCAAACGCCAAGAUUUGGUGAAGGCAUCACUUCCGCUUCAAGCUAAGCAGCUUAUAGCUCACACACCUCAUUGUGGAAUCCCAUUUCAUAAAAUCUCAAACAUACGUCAAAGGUUCGUCCUAUUUCUUCUUUAUUUUUAACCAUGGAAAGAUACCAAACUGUUUCGCAUGCCUAGCCCCCUCAUAAAGUUCACGCUUACACCUGUACUUUUCAACCUAAUUAGAUAAACUCUUUAACACGUACCCUUUUCAGCCAACAUGAUUGGCUUCUGGUGGAUGGCUGCAGGGAUGUGGAAAAAAAUCCAAGAUAAAACAAGAGAGUAGGUAGAGAAACAAAGGGCAGAACAAGAUUUCUUUUUUCACAUGAAAGAUGUUAUUUUAUUGGUUGGUUUUAACUGAGGAAACUUCGCUUCAGGAUUGAGCUUCACUGCUGUCUUGGUCAUUUAAUGCUGAGGUGGGUGUUUGGUCUUUGAGUUCAGUUUCCAACUUGGUUCUUCUUGCUUUUGUUGAAUGAUCUGAAGGUAGCUUUGAUUUGGUCAUUUAAUGUUUUUUUCUGUAAAUGAUUACUACUUUUCAAGAAUGCUGCUUUAUGGCCUUUUAUCAGUGAUUUUUGUUUGGAUCUUCAGGUUUGUUUAUUUUAGUUUGGGUAAAACUGCAAUUAUUGAAGUUAAUGGUAUUCAUUUCGUUCUUGGCUUCUGUAACCGACGGGAAGAAACGCAAUUAUCUGUUAUGGCAAUUAACAGAUUUUGCUUAUAAAUCCUAUCUUUAUAUCUCCUGUUUCUGUUUUUGUUAGUCUUUUCUUCUCUAGAUGUCCUUCUGUUCUCAAAUUGAUGAACUUUGGACUUCGCCUAAAACUGAAAUUUAUAGCUUAACUUCAGUGAUAGUAGGACUUCCUGGAUGACCAGCUAUUUAAUUUACAAUAUAAGCAAUGGUUUUCUGUAUUCUAAAAAUUUCCCUCUUUUUUUGAAUCUAAGUAUUAACAGUUUGCCAUUGGUUUACUGAUUUCAUAAUUUAGUUUUGCUCCUUACAUUCCUUGAGUAUUUCCCCUUUUUUUCUGGGAUGCUGUAAAUAUCUAGAGCUUAUGUUACUUUGAACUUCCAAUCACAUUUGAAAAUUUUUUAGUUGUGAAGUCAUGCGGCAUGGAAAAAUUUCUCUCAUAUAAAUCUCAGUUGCAGUUCACCUGAAUAAGCUGACGUGGUGGUGAGUCUAGCAUAAUUAAUUGGCCAAUGGGAUUCUGCCUGUCCUUGCUUUUCUUUCUGGCUUCUCUCCCUAUCAUAUUUGCGCAAGAUGUUAAACAUGCUACAAUUGUGGUUGAUGGGACUGUCACAACCGCUGAAACUGAUGAUAAUUUCAUAUGCGCUACCCUUGAUUGGUGGCCUCAUGAUAAGUGUGACUACAACCAAUGUCCUUGGCACUAUUCAUCUGUCAUAAAUUUGGACUUGUCUCAUCCUCUUCUGGCAAAAGCUAUCCAAGCUUUCAGGUACUUGAGGAUAAGAAUUGGAGGUUCUUUGCAAGACCAAGUGUUGUAUGAUGUAGGAAAUUUGAAUUCUACUUGCCAUCCAUUUAGAAAGAUGAAAGAUGGGUUGUUUGGAUUUUCAAAGGGAUGUUUACACAUGAACCGUUGGGAUGAGCUGAAUCAUUUAUUCAGUAGAACAGGGGCCAUUGUGACAUUUAGCUUAAAUGCCCUCCAUGGUAGGCACCAGAUCAGGAAGGGUGUUUGGGGAGGAGCUUGGGAUUCAAGUAAUGCUUAUGAUUUUAUGAACUACUCCGUCUCAAAGGGAUACAAGUUAGAUUCAUGGGAAUUUGGUAAUGAAUUGAGUGGAAGUGGCAUUGGUGCCAGUGUCAGUGCAGAACUCUAUGGGAAAGAUGUGAUCAACCUUAAAGAAAUUAUCAAGGAUUUGUAUAAGAAAUCUAAUUUCAAACCUUCACUUGUAGCACCUGGAGGAUUUUAUAACCAGCAGUGGUAUGCUAAACUUCUUCAGGUUUCAGGUUCAGGCAUAGUCAAUGUUAUGACUCAUCAUAUAUACAACUUAGGUGCAGGUGUUGAUCCCAACCUUGUGAAUAAGAUAUUAGAUCCCCAUCAUUUGAGCAAGAUAUCAGAAACAUUCAGUGGUAUUGUGCAAACCAUUCGACGGAAUGGUCCUUGGGCUUCUGCUUGGGUUGGAGAAUCUGGAGGUGCCUAUAACAGUGGUGGUCGUCAUGUGUCUAAUACAUUCGUGAAUAGCUUUUGGUACUUAGAUCAGCUUGGAAUGGCAGCCAAGUACCAUACAAAGGUAUAUUGCAGGCAAACAUUAAUUGGCGGAAACUAUGGUCUUCUCAAUACAACCACAUUUGUUCCCAAUCCUGACUAUUACAGUGCCCUUUUGUGGCAUCGGCUUAUGGGGAAAGGUGUUCUAGCUGUUGGAAGCGAUGCUUCACCGCAUCUGCGUGCUUAUGCCCAUUGCUCAAAAGGACGAGCAGGUAUAACUUUACUGCUAAUCAAUUUAAACAAUCAGACUGAUUUUAUAAUCAGUGUACGAAAUAGUAUGACAAUGAGAUUGCACGUGGAAAAGAAAUUAAUUCAGAAAGAAAACUCUUUGACGCGUGACCUUAAGAGAUCAGUUUCGUGGGUCGGAAAUGAAGCAUCCAACGGAGCAACCAGGGAGGAGUAUCAUCUAACUCCGAAAGAUGGGUACCUUCGAAGUGAAACCAUGGUUCUAAAUGGAAUCCCAUUAAAACUCACUGAAAGUGGAGACAUCCCAAGAUUGGACCCUGUCCACAAUAAUGUGAAUUCUCCUAUAUAUAUAAGUCCUUUGUCCAUUUCAUUCGUAGUGUUCCCUAAUUUUGAUGCUCCCUCUUGUGCAUAACUGGCUGCACUUAGCUUUAUAAUUAUUCUGUGUUGUAUAUGAAGUUGCAGAAAGUGUAAUUUGGUUGUAAUUGUAAUUAUGACAGGUUAUAGCUUAUGCUAUUAUGUUAUGAGGCAAGGAUGUUAGAAUAAGAUGCAAUGCAUCACUUGAUAGUUGAAUAUUAU
rnacentral:misc_RNA from 1 species